rnacentral:rRNA from 1 species
UACGAAGGGGGCUAGCGUUGUUCGGAAUCACUGGGCGUAAAGCGCACGUAGGCGGACUCUUAAGUCGGGGGUGAAAUCCUGGAGCUCAACUCCAGAACUGCAUUCGAUACUGGGAGUCUCGAGUCCGGGAGAGGUGAGUGGAACUGCGAGUGUAGAGGUGAAAUUCGUAGAUAUUCGCAAGAACACCAGUGGCGAAGGCGGCUCACUGGCCCGGUACUGACGCUGAGGUGCGAAAGCUAGGGGAGCGAACGGG